UACGUAGGGUGCGAGCGUUGUCCGGAAUUAUUGGGCGUAAAGAGCUCGUAGGUGGCCUGUCGCGUCGGCUGUGAAAACUCGGGGCUCAACUCCGAGCUUGCAGUCGAUACGGGCAGGCUAGAGUUCGGCAGGGGAGACUGGAAUUCCUGGUGUAGCGGUGAAAUGCGCAGAUAUCAGGAGGAACACCGGUGGCGAAGGCGGGUCUCUGGGCCGAUACUGACGCUGAGGAGCGAAAGCGUGGGGAGCGAACAGG
rnacentral:rRNA from 1 species